GCAUAACGCGAAGAACCUUACCUAGACUUGACAUCUCCUGAAUUACUCGUAAUGGAGGAAGCCCUUCGGGGCAGGAAGACAGGUGGUGCAUGGUUGUCGUCAGCUCGUGUCGUGAGAUGUUGGGUUAAGUCCCGCAACGAGCGCAACCCUUGUUGUUAGUUGCUACCAUUAAGUUGAGCACUCUAACGAGACUGCCGCGGUUAACGCGGAGGAAGGUGGGGAUGACGUCAAAUCAUCAUGCCCCUUAUGUCUAGGGCUACACACGUGCUACAAUGGCCGGUACAGAAAGAUGCAAACCCGUGAGGGGGAGCUAAACUCAAAAGCCGGUCCCAGUUCGGAUUGUAGGCUGAAACUCGCCUACAUGAAGUUGGAGUUGCUAGUAAUCGCGAAUCAGCAUGUCGCGGUGAAUACGUUCCCGGGUCUUGUACACACCG
rnacentral:rRNA from 1 species